ensembl:lncRNA
GUGUUCGAGGGGGAUAUGUGGCUCUGGGGGUUUGUGGCAACAUGUGGGAGGGUUGAGGGUGCUAGGGGUUGGGGGGGGCUCUAGGGAAGGAUGUUGUGCUGUAGGAGAUUGUGGGGGCCUGAGGGAGGAUAUAGGGUGUCUGUGGGGAUAUAGGGGAGAUGUGGAGUCUAGAAGGGUUCUAGGGGGAUAUGAGGUUGGAUAUGGGAGAGUGUGGGGGGCUCUGUAGGGGGUCUAGGGCCAGUGUGUGUCUGUGGGGAGCUGUAAGGGGAGAUGGGGCUUUAGGGGCUGGGGGACUGUAGGGAGGGUUUUAGGGCUGUAGAGUGGACAUGGGGUGCUAUGGGGCUGUAGGGAGCAGGGGAAUAAUAUGGGGCUGUAGGGGGCUAUUGGGGAAGCUGUAUGGUUCUUUGGGGAGGUUAUAGGUGGCAGUGGGAGAGCUAUACUGGGUUUACAGGUAAUUAUGUGGCUAUAGGGUUCUGUGGGUGGGCUGUAGGAGGGUUCUAGUAGGGUAGGAGGUUAUAGGGGGCUGUGGAGGGGAUAUAGGGAGAUAUGGGGCAAUAGUGGGUUUUUAGGGGGUUGUGUUGGGCUGUGGGAGAGUAUAGGAUGAUAGGGGGCCGGGAAGGGUCUGUAGAGAGGGAUGUUAUGCUGGAGAAGGUAUGGGGGGCUAAAAUGGGCCUUUGGGGGUUACAGAGGGGCUGUGGUGGGCUAUUUGGGGAUAUAGGGAGAUAUGAGGCUAUAGGGGGUGUUUGGAGGAUGUGGUCCUCUAAGGGGCUGUGUGGGUCCAUAGGAUGAUCUGGAGCUAUAGGGUGAUCUCUAAAGGGAUGUGGGGCUAGAAGGCUCUCCCUUCCUUCCUUUCCCCCCUUCCACAGCAGGGAGGGUGAAAUGCUAGUCAUGAAAUUGAAAUUGGAACUGAAGUUGUCUUGGAAUAGAAUAUGAUGCUUUUGUGGUCUUCCAUCUGAAACGUGUUUUCUCCUUGGGUUUAGGUUAUCUGUUUAUGUUUAAUGAUUAUGCUUAAUAAUCUAAUCAUGUUUCAUAAUGCCUUUUGAAAAGGUUUCAGUCUGCAGUCUGCUGAUCCGAAAGAAAGAAGGCGGCUUUU